rnacentral:rRNA from 1 species
UACGGAGGGGGCUAGCGUUGUUCGGAAUUACUGGGCGUAAAGCGCACGUAGGCGGCUUUGUAAGUUAGAGGUGAAAGCCCGGAGCUCAACUCCGGAAUUGCCUUUAAGACUGCAUCGCUUGAAUCCAGGAGAGGUGAGUGGAAUUCCGAGUGUAGAGGUGAAAUUCGUAGAUAUUCGGAAGAAACACCAGUGGCGAAGGGCGGCUCACUGGACUGGUAAUUGACG